UCAAAACCCAAAGAAGAAACAGUAUCGGUCGGCGACGAUAUUUGAAAUAGUGAGUCUUGGAAUUUAGCACACGGGUCCAGAAGUUCCAUUGUACGAUGAAUUUAUAUAUGUAGACAUUGUUUUGGAAAAAAAUUGGCAUUGAAGGUGAAGGAGUAUGGGGAUAGUGGAAAAGAUUGAAGAGCAGGGUGCUGUCCAAGUUCCCCCCCCCC